CUGAUGGCCAAACGGAUGCCAAAACUUCCCUCACAUGUGCACGCAUGUGGUGAUCAGCACUCGCGUGAAGAGGUGCGAGGAUAGCAUCCUUCCACGAGAAUUUUAUCACUAUUUUAAGUUUUUUAGAAUUAAAAAUGAGUCUCCUAUCUAUGUGGAUUUUUUUAAUUUGAGAAGGGAUGUGAAAACAUCCCUUCUUUGAUCGCACAUGCAGGUGAAGGUGGAGAUCGACGUAUCAUUGAUAAAAGUCCUUCUGCUUGAAGGAACUCUUAUCUCUGAUAAUCUGAUCAAAUAAGUCUCUUGGAUAAGGCGUGUCCCUCCCUUUUGGUAUCCCUCUUGUGGCUAUAAAAUGGUCAGGGUGCUGGGUGUCUGAUGUAUUCAGAUCGAGUUUUCAAUUUUCUUUCAAUUGCUCUCCUUUCUUUCUUACAACCUAUCUUACUUUUAGGACAAGGCUUUGGAAUUUAAGACAAAGCCUUAUCUAGUCCUAAUAAGGGUUGUGAGGGUCCUAAAGAAAGAGAAUCUAAAGCUUAGAGGAGGUUCUGAGAGGGUGGAGUCAGGUUCUUGAAGAAAUUUGACUGGUAUGAGGCUAGUCGAGUUCUAAGGGCUAGAACUCAUGAAGCAAGA
rnacentral:lncRNA from 1 species